rnacentral:lncRNA from 1 species
UAAGGUACCGGUGGUACCAACAACAAGUGAAAUUUAUGAAGCCAAACUAGUGAAAGAAUAACAAAAGCUGGGACCACAAAGAGAAACAUACAAAGGUGCCGAAAAUAUGCGGAACACCUAACAAUGUAGGAACACCAAAAUCCUUAUAUAUGCGGAACCUCUACCCAAAAAUCAAAAGGCCUAAAGCGGCACAAGCAUAACCCAACAACAACAAAGAUAGCACAAAAAAACCAAAACACCUAAACCUGCACAGAAAGGUAGUAACUACAGCUUCCCACUAACAAACUACAAGCUUGCCUAGACACACUAGAAGGCUAGAAACUUGCACAGCCGCAAAACCGCAACCACUACUGAAAAA